rnacentral:rRNA from 1 species
AUGCACGCUGGCGGCGUGCCUAAUACAUGCAAGUCGAGCGAACAGACGAGGAGCUUGCUCCUCUGACGUUAGCGGCGGACGGGUGAGUAACACGUGGAUAACCUACCUAUAAGACUGGGAUAACUUCGGGAAACCGGAGCUAAUGCCGGAUAAUAUAUUGAACCGCAUGGUUCAAUAGUGAAAGACGGUUUUGCUGUCACUUAUAGAUGGAUCCGCGCCGCAUUAGCUAGUUGGUAAGGUAACGGCUUACCAAGGCAACGAUGCGUAGCCGACCUGAGAGGGUGAUCGGCCACACUGGAACUGAGACACGGUCCAGACUCCUACGGGAGGCAGCAGUAGGGAAUCUUCCGCAAUGGGCGAAAGCUUGACGGAGCAACGCCGCGUGAGUGAUGAAGGUCUUCGGAUCGUAAAACUCUGUUAUUAGGGAAGAACAAAUGUGUAAGUAACUAUGCACGUCUUGACGGUACCUAAUCAGAAAGCCACGGCUAACUACGUG